UCCUAAUAAGUCCCCAAAUAUCAAUGCCCACCAAACCUUGAAAACUCCAUCGAUAUCCCCAAAGCCUUAUUGUCUUCUUUGCCAUACCGUAAGAAAAAAAUACCCAAAUCUGAAAAUUGGGUUUGAGUUAAGGUUUUAGAUCUGAAUUAUUUCCCUUUUAUAAGAGAAAAAAUUUAUGGAAUAAAUAUUGGAUGGUUUUAUUGUGCUUGAAAUCCGGUUGCUGCUUUGAUUCCCAAAUCGCACCUCGACUUCUCGACUGCUUGAAGGGAAAGCUGAACUCAGAUCCACCUUGACUGCUUGAAGCCAAAAUUUGGAAAAGACGAAAGGCAAAGUUUCCAACUGGAACAACAAUACAAAUAGGUACUCCUUGAAUAACCACUUUCAUUGCUUUCAUGUGUUUCAUAUUUCAUGAGCUUUCUCUACAAAUUCUUGAUUUUACCUUAAAUUGGGGUUUAAUUUUCAUAGUGAUUACCUUUAAGAUUUUUUAUAAUUUUAAUUUUCUCUUUAUUUUCUUCCUUCCCCAUUCUCAAGGCCACUCCUCGGAUUAGGGUUCUGUUUUGGGGUUUUCUCAAUUGUUCUUUGAGUGCUCUCCAACUUCUAUGUUGUAGGAUGGUUUGAAUUAUUAGGGGUUUAAGGAUCCGAGUUUGUUUUAUUAAGAGGAUUAAUAAUUUAUGCUUUUAUUUUGGGCUAAACUAGGAUUUUAUGUAUCUGGAAUCCCAACAAAUUAGCUCCUUUAAGUAACUUUUGAAAAUGCAUAUCAUUGUCAUAACAAUGAUAUUGAUUUAAACGACGUAUAAAGUCAAUCAUAGAGAAGUCCUAGCAAUUAAGAAAUUAAGAGAGGUCUGCUGCAUUUUUCCUAUAAUAGGAAAUCACAUUUACGGUUGCUUUCUUUGAAAUUAAAACAACGCAGAAGAAACAAGGGAAUUUAAGAAUUUUGUAAGGAAAAUCUGAGGGAAUUGUCUGCUAUUUACAUCCAAUAUAUUGGGUUUAAAUGAAGAUGUGCAACUCUUUAGAGUGACUAUUAUAACUACUCAGGUAGGAAUGAUCAUUAUGUUAAUGGCUAUUUACGCAAAAUAAAAUAGAAAAGUAAAAUGCGGAGGAAAAUUAAUUUAUCGUUACAAAAACAGAUAAUUUGGAUUAAAAUAAUAUUACGUUAAUCUUAAUAUUAAUAAAUAAAUUUUGUCUAAAAAGUUAAUCAAUCAAUCAGAUUAUUUGACCAAAUACAAAUAUGAAUUCGAAGCUGGCGAGCGAUGACGACAACAAUGACGACGAAGACGAAGACGAAGACGCGAGGCUUACUUUCUUAUUAACUCUUUAAGAUCUAAAAGAAGAGAAAUUGUAUAUAUACGUAUCAAAACUUGUCAGGACCCAAACCCGAUAGUGAUGGCGCCCAAUUAUAUAGCUAGGCAAGCCUGACCAAUUAUCACUCACAAACCCAACCUGAUAAUUCAUUACCGACAAUUUAAGGGAAAUUAACAGUUUAAAAUAUAAACCGGUGUUUAUAAUAAAAACAAUACGGAAUAAACCAAAAUAUCCGACAAAACACUCCCAACAGAAUCUGGGGUUACGAGUCUAGAGCCUCUGAACAACUCAGUAACAAUAUUCGAAAAUACAUAAGUCUAGAAUGCGGAAAUAAAACUGAAUAAAAGGGAGAAGUUUGGUCUUGCGGACGUCAACAGCUACCUCGACAACUCUGAUAAAACUCUGGAAGACACCGACUGCUCAUCUAAGUCUCCGGGACACCUGAAUCUGCACAUAUAGUGCAGAGGGUAAAGUGAGUACUUCCAACUCAGUGGUAACAAACAUGUAUAAUGACUGAAAGUAAGAAAUCCCGAAAUCCCACAAUGUAAAGCUGAAUCUAACCACUUAGCACAUUUAACGGUGAAACAACAAUAAAUCACUGACAAAUAGACAAAUAGAUAUCAAUGUAUGAAUGCAAUGCAAUGCACUUGACCGCUGCGACGUACAUCUCGAUCCAUUGGGUACCCGCGCUCACUGUAGAGGUUCAGACUCCGGAGGGGCUCCUACAACCCAAGCGCAAUGACAUAGUAGCAUUCGCUGCGGCGUGCAGUCCGUCCACAAUCAGUCCAAUUAUAUUCAUGCAUGACACACGGGCACAAUCAAGUUUACCAUUUUCAGUUCCAUUUAGUAUGUAUUAUAGUUUAAGUGAUUAACCUUAAAAGUUUACUAAUCUUUUCGAGGCAGUAUUUAACUCAGGAUUGAUAUCAUGGAAACAUUCUCAAUAUAAUGGAAACAGUGAUAAUAAUCCCUAAGGGAUCCAAAUAAUCGGCACGUAGCCCAAAUAUGCUCAUAACAAUCCAAGUAGGUUGUUUACCAAUCAAUUCCUAGUCGAUAACAAAGUAUGGACAGCACUCGGACAGACUAAGCCAUAUUCCCCGUCCACAAAUAACCCCGCACUCACCUUAGAGUACGUGUCUCACCUUAAUACAGCGUCACAAUGUGAGAUACCGGGAUUUCAAACCCUCAGGUCAUCAUCUACAUUUAUUACUCACCUCAAGCCGGCUGUAGACUACUCCGCAAUGCCCUUUCCUCUUAAAUCGACCUCCUGGUGCAUCGAAUCUAGUCAAACCACAACGAAUAUAUUUGUAUAUGCUAAAGAAAUGUAACCCAAUCGAAAUUACUCGAAAAAUACUAAAAUUCACGAAGUUGACAAAACCCGAGCCCCAGGCCUAUUUCUUGAAAAUUACGAAAUUCACAUCACUGGAUUCCUCGUCUCUCCACGAGUCUAUACAUAUGAAUUUACUAAAAUCGGAGUUCGUUUGCCCCUCUAAAACUCAUAUUUAAACUCUCUUGAGUUUCAAGCCCUAACCUCCAUUUUUAAUCUUUAAAUCCUUGAAAUUCAGUGAUUAAGCAAUGUUUUUACACCAUACUAACAUAUUCCGAGGCUAAUAAUUCAUACCUGAUGAAGCUCCUUCGAUUUCUCCUCCAAAUCGCCCAAGAAUAACCCUAGUCGAAGUCCUAAAUGUUUUCACUUAUUUAAAAAUCAUGAACUACUGUUCACUAAAAUCCUUGGUCGUUUUCCGCUUAUGCGGUCCAAUAACCGCACAUGUGAUCCCACACACGCGACCAGUCGACCGCUAAUGCGGUCUUCACUUAAAAUUCUAUUAGAUCGCUUAUGCAGUUUCUCACAACCGCUUCUGCGGUAGAUUAUCUGCUUAUGCGGUCCCGCAGAAGCGAUCUCUCCUCCGCUCAGAAAUUUCCUGGGCCACUCCUUUCCUCUUCUGCGACCUUCCCACCGCAUCUGUGGAACCGCCUAUGCGGCCCCUUUUUCCGUAGAUGCGGAAACAACAAACACCAGAACUCUGUUUCAUGCAACAACUCCAAAAACCUCCGUUCAACCACCCGAAUUCAACACAAAGCCCCCGGGACCCCAACCAAAUUCACAGACAUGAUCUAAUAGUUCAUUCAAACUUGCUCGAAUCAUCAAAACACUAACUUUAACAUCAAACUCCUCAAUUAUGAUCAAAUCAAUGCAUAAAUUUCUUAAAAACUUUCGAAUUGCAUAUUUGAUCAAAAAUCCGACCUAAACACCUCUGAAUUACUUGAAACUUUGCAAGCAUAUCCAAAAUCACCUAACAGAGCUACUGCAACUCUCGGAAUUUCAUUCCGACCCUCGGAUCAAAAUCUCACUGAUCAAUCGAAAUUCGCCAAAAUUCAAACUUAGCCAAUUCAAGCCUAAUUCUAAAUUGGACCUCCAAAUUCAUUUCUGAUUGCACUCCUAAGUCACAAAUCAUCCCCCAAAGCCAACCGAAUUAUCAAAAUUCACAUCCGAGCCCUCUAACUAAAUAGUCAACUCCUAGUUGACUUUUGCCAAAACAAGCUUCCCUUUAAGAGACUAAGUGCCUCAUUUCCAACUAAAACCAAUCCAAUCCUACCCAAUUAACUCAAAUACUGAUAUUGAAACAAAGUGAACAUAGUAUGAGGGAAACGGGGCGGUAACUCACGUGACGACGGGACGGAUCGUCACAUCCUCCCAACUUAAACAAAUGCUCGUCCUUGAGCGGGUCAAGAAACAUACCUGGAGUCUCAAAGAAGUGAGGAUAUCUGCUCCGCAUCUCCUGCUCGGUCUCACAAGUGGCCUCCUCCACAAGCCGACGUUUCCACUGCACCUUUACCUAAGCUAUGUCCUUUGAUCUCAACUUUCGAACCUGAUGAUCCAAAGUAGCCACUGGCUCCAUAUCUUAUGUCAAGUCCUCAUCCAAUUGGAUCGUGCUGAAGUCUAAUACAUGAGACGGGUCCCCAACAUACUUCCGGAGCAUAGAAACAUGGAACACCGGAUGAACUCCCGACAAGCUGGGUGGCAAAGCAAGCAUAUAGGCCAUCUCCCCAUUCCUCCUAAGUAUCUCAAAAGGUCUAAUGAACUGUGGACUCAGCUUUCUUUCUUCCCAAACCUCAUAGCACCCUUCAUAGGAGAAACCUUCAAUAAGACCUUUUCGCCCACCAUAUAAGAUACAUCUCGAACCUUCUGGUCCGCAUAACUCUUCUGACGUGAUUGAGCUGUACGAAGUCUCUCCUGGAUCACUUUCACCUUCUCUAAGGCAUCCUGAACUAACUCUGUCCCCAAUAAUCUAGCCUCACCGGGCUCAAAUCAAUCAACCAGAGAUCUACACAGUCUCCCAUAUAAGGCCUCAUAUGGCGCCAUCUGAAUACUGGAUUGAUAGCUGUUGUUACAAGAAAACUCUGCAAGUGGCAAGAACUCAGCCCAAGAACCUCCAAAAUCAAUAACACAUACACGUAAGAUCUCCUCCAAUAUAUGGAUAGUACACUCGGACUGUCCGUCCGUCUGAGGAUGAAACGUCGUGCUCAACUGUACUUGUGUGCCCAACACCUGAUGAAAGUCCUCCAGAAUUGGGAAGUAAACUGAGUACCCCUAUAUGAGACAAUGGAAACUGGGGCCCCAUGCAACCGUACAAUCUCCCGAAUGUAAAUCUCCUCUAACCGCUCCGAGAAAUAGGUGGUACACACCGGAAUGAAGUGCACAGACUUGGUCAGCCUAUCCACAAUCACCCAAANNNNNNNNNNNNNNNNNNNNNNNNNNNNNNNNNNNNNNNNNNNNNNNNNNNNNGGAAUGAAGUGCACAGACUUGGUCAGCCUAUGCACAAUGACCCAAAUCGAAUCAAAAUUCUUCGAGGUACGAGGGAGACCAGUCACAAAAUCCAUAGUAAUCCUCUCCCAUUUCCACACCGGAAUAUCCAUCCGCUGAAGUACACCACUGGGCCUCUGAUGUUCAUAUUUGACCUGCUGACAGUUGAGACACCGAGCCACAUAACUCCACCAGUAAUAUUAUCUCAAAUCGUGGUACAUCUUCGCGGCACCCGGAUGAAUGGAAUAUCGCGAACUGUGGGCCUCCUCUAAUAUCAACUCUCGGAGCUAAUCCACAUUGGGCACGCAAAUCCGGCCCUGCAUUUGAAACACACCAUCAUCACCAAUGGUCACAUCUAUGGCAUCGUCAUACUGGACCUUGUCCUUCAGGACAAGCAAAUGCGGGUCAUCAUACUGGCGCUCUCUAAUGCGGUCAUACAAAGAAGAUCGGGAAACCACUCAAGCCAACACCCAACUGGGCUCAAAAAUAUCUAAUCUCACCAUCCGAUUGGCCAAGGCCUGAACAUCAACUGCAAGGGGCCUCUCUCCAACUGGAAUGUAUGCCAAGCUACCCAUAGUAACCGUCUUCCGGCUCAAAGAAGCGGCCACUACAUUGGCCUUCCCCGGAUGAUACAGAAUGGUAAUGUCAUAGUCCUUGAGUAACUCAAGCUACCUCCGCAGCCUCAAAUUAAGAUCCUUAUGCUUGAACAAGUGCUGAAGACUGCGAUGGUCUGUGAACACCUCACAAGAUACGCCAUAUAGAUAGUGCCUCCAAAUCUUCAAGGCAUGAACUAUAGCAGCGAACUCUAAGUCAUGAACAAGUAGUUUUUCUCAUUGGGGCUUUAAUUGAUGAGAAGCAUAAGCAAUAACUCUAUCCUCCUGCAUCAAUACACAACCAAUCCCAACUCUCAAAGCAUCACAAUACACCGUGUAAGAACAUGACGCUGAUGGCAAUACUAGUACCAGAGCUAUGGUCAAAGCUGACUUGAGCUUCUGAAAGCUCUCCUCGCACUCAUCCGACCACACAAAUGGAGCAUUCUUCUGCGUCAACUUCGUUAAUGGCGAAGCAAUAGAUGAAAAACCCUAUGACAACCUGCAGUAAUAAUCCGCCAAACCGAGGAAAAUCCGAAUCUCAGUAGUUGAGGAUGGUCUAGGCACUCUACACCGCCUCAAUAUUCUUUGGAUCCACCUAAUACCAUCACUGUACACCACGUGUCCCAGAAAAGCUACAAAACUAAGCCAGAACUUACACUUGUAGAACUUUGCAUAGAGUUUCUCCUAUCUCGGUCUUUGCAAUACCACCCUCAAGUGCUGCGCGUGCUCCUCAUGGCUACGCGUGCUCCUCAUGGCUACGGGAGUACACCAAAAUAUCACCAAUAAACACGAUCACAAAUGAAUCCAGAUACGACCAAAGUACACUGUUCAUCAAGUGUAUGAACGCGGCUGGGCAUUAGCCAGCCGAAUGACAUCACUAGAAACUCAUAGUGCCCAUAUCUCAUCCUGAAAGCCGUCUUCAUAAUGUCUGAAUCCCUAAUCUUCUGCUGGUAAUAGCCUGAUCGGAGGUCAAUCUUAGAGAAUACCUUUGCUUCCUGAAGCUGAUCAAACAAAUCCUCAUAUGGGGUAGUGGAUACUUGUUCUUCACCGUCACCUUGUUCAACUGUUUGUAGUUAAUGCACAUUCUGAUUGUGUCAUUCUUCUUCUUUACAAAUAAGACCGAUUCACCCCAUGGUGACGCACUCGGGCGAAUGAACCCCUUAUCUAGGAGUUUAUGAAGCUACUCCUUCAACUCUUUUAGCUUUGCUGGUUCCAUACGAUAGGGAGGAAUAGAGAUGGGCUGAGCGCCCAGCACCAGAUCAAUACCGAAGUCGCUAUCCCUGUCCGGCGGCAUGCCCGGCAGAUCUGCUGGAAACACAUCAGGGAACCGAAUCAAGACUAGGAGCCUCAGUUCCAACAUCUCUAAUGAAAGCCAAGUACGAUAAACAACCAAUCUCAACCAUCCGCUGGGCCUUUAAGAAAGAAAUUACACUACUGGGCACAUAAUUAGUCACGCCUCACUACUUGAUCCUCGGAAUACCUGGAAUAGCCAACAUAACUAUCUUGGCAUGACAUUCCAGAAUAACAUAGUACGCGGAUAGCCAAUCCAUACAUAUUAUCAUGUCGAAAUCCACUAUACCCAAUAAUAACAAGUCAACUCGGGUCUCCAGACCCCCAGCAGUCACCAGACACGAUCAAUAUACAUGAUCCACAAUAAUAGUAUCACCCACCGGGGUAGAUACGUGUACAGGCAAGGCAAGACAACCACUGGUCGUACCCAAAUGAUAAGCAAAUAUAAAGAUACAUAAGAAUAGGUAGAUCCAGGAUCAAACAAAAUAGACGCAUCUCUAUGGAAGACUGAGAUAAUACAUGUGAUAACAACAUCUGAUGCAACGACGUCCCUCGUAUCUGGGAGAGCAUAGAAUCGAGCAUGACCACCGCCAGUUCGAUCUUCACCCUUGGGGCGAAACUCUGGAUACAUGGCCUCCAUCCACUAGCUGACUGGGUGGGUGUUGAAGAAACAUGAGCAGAAGAUGAGGGCUGAUCCCUCUGCUGAGACUGCCUACCGCGGAGCCGAGGAUGCUGUCUCCUCAUAUGACCUAACUCACCACACUCGUAGCAGCGACCUGGAGCUAAAGAAGGGGACUGAAGGGAACCCUUCGCAGCAGAUGAACCCUGGGCUGAAAGGGCUGGAGUAGUACUCUGAGAUGGAAGGGCGCUAAGUGAAGACUGGCCCUGCUGAUAACCCUGAUGACCACGGCCCGAAGAAGCCCCACUGUACUCUGUACGACCUGACUAAGGAGGUCUGAAGUAACAACCUCUGCUGCACUGGAACUGGCCCCUAGACGGAGCACCGUUGAAACUUCCUUAACCUCGAGGGCUCUUGGCCUCUCUCUCCUCACACUCUCGACGAUGAUCUGUCUCAAUCUUGUGAGCCAUACCAACUACCUCCUCAAACGAGGCGGCCACAACUGUCUCUAGUCAUCAAAAUGCGAAUGGGAUAGUUGAGGCUAUCCACGAACCUCCUAAUCCUUUCCUGAUCAGCGGGGAUCAUCCAAGUAGCAUGCCGAGCAAGUUGUGUAAACCUCAGCUCAUUCUGGGUCACAGUCAUGUCCCCCUGAACCAUCCACUCAAACUGACAACGCAGCUCCUCCCUGCGAGACUGGGGCACAUACUUCUCCAGAAAGAGAGCGGAGAACUGCUGCCAAGUAAUGGGCGCUGCUCCAAUAGGCAUAUGCCUCUCAAACUCCUCCCACCAAGUAAAUACAAGCCCUAAGAACUGGAAAGUAGUAAAAGACACUCCACUCGACUCCAAUAUUCCUGCAACGCGAAGCAUACACUGACACUUGUCUAGAAAUUCCUGGGCAUCCUCGCCCUCAUUACCACUGAAAGUCGGAGGCUGGAGCCUGCCAAACCUCUCCAGUCGACGCUGCUCAUCGUCUGGAAUAGCUGGAACCACAAGGUCUGGAGCUGGUGCGACUGGCGCAACUGGGGCAAUUGGUGCAACUAGUGCAACUCCCGGUGUCUACAACCCUGGACACCCUGCUCGAGUGUAUGAGCAGCGGGGGUCUGCUGACCACUCCCGGUCUGAGAAGUAGCUACUACAGUAGUGGCUGAUACAGCCUGAGCCAAGCUAGUGCAGAUGUACAAGAUCUGAGCCAAAGCCUUCUGAAAACUAGGAAUCACAAUGGGCACUGCCGGAGCCUGGACAGGUGCUGCUGGAGCAUCUACAACUGGAGGCCGAUCCUGAACCUGGGCAGUUGGUGGAUCUGCAAGUGCCGCCCUUGCUGGUUUACCUCGACCGCGACCGCGAGUACGGGCCCUAACGGGUUCCAAAGGUGGUCGUUUGUCACGUCCAGUAGCACAGGUUCUCGCCAUUUGCGAGAGAAUAGAAUAGAAAAGUUUAGGUUCCAGAACAAUAAAGCCGCACGACAAGAGUUCAAGAAUAUGAAGUAUUUCCUAUAGGUUCUGCUGCCUCUCGAGGAUAAAUACAGACGUCUCCGCAACGAUCCACGAGACUCUACUAAUCGGCUCAUGACUCAUGAGGCCUAGUAACCUAGGCUCUGAUACCAACUUGUCACGACCCAAACCCGGUCGUGAUAGUGCCCAACCAUAUAGCUAGGCAAGCCUGAUCAAUUAUCACUCACGAACCCAACCUGAUAAUUCAUUGCUGACAAUUUAAGGGAAUUAACAGUUUAGAAUAAUACGCGGAUGUUUAUAAUAAAAACAAUACAGAAUAGACCAAAAUAUCUGACUUCUCCCCUUUAUUCAGUUUUAUUUCCGCAUUCUAGACUUGUGUAUAUUCAAAUAUUGUUACUCUGUUGUUUAGAGGCUCUAGACUCGUAACCCCAGAUUCUAUUGGGAGUGUUUUGUCGAAUAUUUCGGUUUGUUCCGUAUUUUUUUAUUAUAAACAUCGGCUUAGUAUUUUAAACUAAUAAUUUCCCUUAAAUUGUCGGUAAUGAAUUAUCAGGUUGGGUUCGUGAGUGAUAAUUGGUCAGGCUUGCCUAGCUAUAUGGUUGGGCGUCAUCACGACCGGGUUUGGGUCGUGAAAAAACUCUUUUUCUCAUCCAAUAUGGGAUAAUGUCCCUUUGAGAAUGAGGAAAAUUAAAAUAUUUAAUUUUUCCCUCUAUUUUCCAUUUACUCUUUAUUUUAAGCUAACCAAGCUUAAACCUAACAAUCACCCACAUGAAUGGGGAAUGACUAUAUCACGAAAAUAUGCAUAAAAAGCUAUUUGAUUCACAAGCAAGGAUCAAUAGUAUCUGGAUAAGUAGGUUUUCCUUUGAACUUUCCGCAGUGAACUUAUAUUGGAUAUACUUGGUCAGUCGAUAGAUUUGAUAUCUUGAAUCGUUAAACUUUGGUGUAUACCUAGACAACCAUAAGUCACAAAUCAACCCUUAACCGUCUUUGGUUCUCAUUGUUGUGUUCGUUUCGGUCAUGAACACCUCCUUGUUUCAUAAGUGCAUAGAGAACUGAUGUUAUGAAAUUCUCCUUGAACCGGCUAACACUUCACACUUACAUAGGUGAUUCCUAAACGUGUCAUCCCUCAGAUACACUAUUUGAUAUACCCCGUAUCAAAUUUAGAAACCAUUUAAAAGCCUUAAUGCUUUAUCCUUGGUACUAAACAUUGUCUCAUCAUGAGAAUGGACCAAAAUUUUUAGUUGACAUUUUUGAACCAUCACUAAUGAAUUUGUUUGAUCUCCUUGAACCUAGAUCUUUGGAUCUCUAGUCUUCUAGGUAAAUUUACCACCACAAUGACUUAUCCUCGGCCAUAGUACAUCCCCUCAAUGAUUUCUCAACUACCUCUCUAGUUAGGCUUUUCAUAAGUGAAUCCGAUACAUUAUCUCACUUGUCUUUACGUAGUCAAUAGUGAUAAUUUAUCUAAAGAAUAAUUGCCUAAUGAUUUUAUGUCUUCUUCGUAUAUGACGAGAUUUAUCGUUAUACAUAAUGCUCCCAACCUUUCCAAUUGCCGCUUAACUAUCACAAUACAUACAUAUUGGGCCAACGGUUUGGUCAAAAAUGGAAUAUCUUUCAAGAAAUUUCAGAGCUAUUCAGCUUCUUCACCAGCUUUAUCUAAGGCUAUGAACUCAGCUUCCAUUGUUGAGCGGGCAAUACAAGUUUGUUUAGAUGACUUCCAAGAUACCGCUACUCCACCACGAGUGACUACAUAUCCAUUUGUGCACUUGGAAUCAGUUGAACCGAUAAUCCAAUUUGCAUAACAAUAUCCCUCAAUCAUCGCAUGAUAUUUACUGUAGUGCAUAGCAAAGUCCUAGUAUGUUCUAAAUAUCCCAAAACUCGUUUCAUUACCGUCCAAUAAAAUUGUCCUAGAUUACUCGUGUAUCGACUCAAUUUACUUAUAGCACAAGCUAUAUCUGGUCUUGUACAAUCCAUGAUAUACAUUAAACAACCUAACAUAUGAUCAUAAUCCAAUUGUGAUAUCCUUUGGCCUUUGUUCUUUACUAGUGCAAGAUCCACAUCAAUUGGAGUCUUCGCAACUUUAAAAUCUAAGUGCUUAAAUUUUCCAAGUACUAUUUUAAUGUUAUGAGAUUGUGACAAUGCCAAACCUUGAGGAGUCUAAUGGAUCUUAACACCCAGAAUUAAAUCGACAACUCCCAAGCCUUUCAUAUCAAACUUGCUAGUUAGCAUACGUUUAGUCGCAUUUAUGUUGGAAAUAUCAUUACUCAUCAUUAUCAUAUCAUCCAUAUAUAAGCAAACAAUGACUAUGUAAUUUGAAAUAUUUUUAAUGUACACACAUUUAUCAUAUUUAUUUAUCUUAAAAUCAUUUGACAACAUUAUUUGGUCAAAUUUCGUAUACCAUUGUUUUGAUGUUUGUUUUAGUCCGUAAAGGGACCUAACAAGUCCACACAUCUUCUUUUCUUUACCCAAAAAAUCCUUUGGUUGUUCCAUGUAGAAUUCUUCUUCCAAAUAUCUAUUUAAGAAGGCCAUCUUAACAUCUAUUUGUUGAAUUUCAAGACUAUAAACAACAGCUAAUGCUACUAAUGUUCGUAUGGAUAUAAUUCUUGUAACUAGAGUGUAUGUAUCAAAAUAGUUAAGCUCUUCUCAUUAUCUAUACCCUCUGACCAUAAAUUUUACCUUAUAUUUAUCAAUAGUGCCAUCAUCUUUCAUUUUCCUCUUAAAAAUUCAUUUAUACCCUAAUGGUUUAUUUCCAGGAGGAAGAUCAACCAAUUCCCAUGUAUGGUUGUUCAAUAUAGAUUCUAUUUUACUAUUGGCUGCCUCCUUCCAAAGUAAUGAUUCCCAUUAGACGUAAGAAUGGCUUCCACCCACAAGUUCUAUGGCAAACUAGAACUUAUCAAUAAGGCACUCAUCAUCUCCUUUAAUGAAUGAUUUCUGCAAUCUCAUUGGAUUGGGGCAUGUAAAGGGCCAUUGAUUUGUAACGACCCGACCAGUCGUUUUGAGUUUUUGCACUCGAUCAUCUGCCCUCGGGCAUGACUUGCCCUAUUGGGUGUAUUAUGACUUAGGUAACUCUUUGGCUUUGGUUUUCACAGUAAUUAGAAUGAAUUUGGAAUAACAACUCUCAGUUUAAAACUAAAAAUUGGAAAGGCUUGACCAAGAUUUGACUUGUUUGUAUAUGAUCUCGGAUCAGAAUUUUUAUGAUUUUGCUAGCUUCUAUGGGGUGAUUUGGGACUUAGGAGCAUGAUCGGAAUGCAUUUUGGAAGUCCGUGGAAGGUUUAGGCUUGAAUUGGCGAAAUUGAGAUUUCCGCAUCUUCCGGUUGAUAUGUGAGAUUUUGAUAUAGUGGUCGAAAUAAAAUUCCAAGAGUUGCAGUAAAAUUGUUGCGUCAUUUGUGAUGUAUGUGUAAAAUAUUAGGUCAUCUGUACGUGGUUUGGUUGUGUUUUUUAGCAAAAGCGUAUUUCAUAAGAUUUUUGAAACUUAGGCUUGAAUUCGAUGUGCUUUGGGUGAUUUGAUGUUGUUUGAAGUGUUUUGAUAAUUGGAAUAAGUUUGAAUAAAGUUUUAGGUCAUGUUUGUGCUUUUAGUUGAAGUCCAUGGGGCCUCAGGGUGAUUUCGGAUGGUUGACAGAAAGAUUUGAGACUUUUGAAAUUUCAGAAAGUUGUUGCUUCGGGUGUUUUCGGACCUACGGUUUGGGAACCGCAUGUGCGGUGCCGCAUGUGUGAGAGAAUUGGCCACAGAAGUGAAAAGUUGAGCAGGUGUGCUGUGACCAUAAGAUUGGUAGGGAGACCGCAUCUCCGGCGUCGCAGAUGCAGAAUUUUUGCCGCAAAUGCGGUUUAGGCCGGAUUAAUGAAUUUCCUUAGAAGCGGAUGAGUUAAUCACAAAUGCGGUACUCUAGAUGCGGAAAGACCUGGGCAAAAUGUAUAUAUUUCUUCCUUCGCAAUUUUUGAAGGGUUUAACCAUUUUUAAACUCGGGAUUGGGAGCUUUGGGCGAUUUUUGAGAGAGGAAUCAAAUGGACAACCUAAAAAUACUUAUAUGGUAAUAUUUCAUGGAUUAAGACUGGAAUUAAUGAAUUAAAGGAUAAAAAAUAGAGGUUUACAGAUUGAGUUUAAGAGUGCUUUAAAUGAAGAUUUGAGGGAUCAUUCGAACUCCGAUUCGGAUGUUUUUUAUAUGUAUGAACACGUGGGGAGAUAAGGAACCCGUUGAUGUAAAAUAUUUUGAGUUUCGAGAAGUGGGGUUGGGGCUCAAGUUUUGGUAAUUUGAGUUUUGUUCCCUUAGCAUAUUUUGAUGUUCUUGUUCUGAUUUUUGGAUUGAUUCGACGAGCGUGGAUGCCGAUUUGAGAGACAAAGCAUCGCGAUCUAUUGAUUUAGCCUGUUCGAGGUGAGUAAUUAUUGUAAAUGAUGCUCUCAGGGUUUGAAACCCCGAAUUGCACAUCGUAGUGCUACAUGAGGUGAGACACACGCUCGAUGACGAGCGUGGGGUCGUGCACGAUUGGGAAUUGUGAGUUGGUCCGUCUCGAUUUAUGAUUUUACCGCGUAUUUGAUUGAAAACUAUUUGCUAUUAUUAUUAUUUGGGCUGAAUGCCAUACUUGGGCCUAAUGCCAACAAUUUGAACCCUUCAGGGCUUGUUAUUGAUAUUUCCUCACUGUUUUGACUUCAUACUUGACUCAUUCAUGUUAUUUUCCACUAUUUUCAAUACUCAACCACGUUUACUUUGCUUUAUCACUUGAAAUGAUAUUUCAAAUAAUAUUUUUGGGAUGAGCAUCAUGUUUUACUAUUGCCCGAGAGGCUUAUGUAAUUUUGGACUGAGUGAGGCCGAGAGCUUGUGUUGUGAUGAUAUCUUUUUAGCUUGGGUUGCACGCCGCAAUAUUGAUAUACUGAUCUGAUUAUGAGGUCGAGGGUCUGAGAUAUAUACACCACGAGGUGGCUUGUUGAUAUUGAUAUGAGGCCGAGAGGUUGUCUAUGAUGCCACGAGGUGGCUUGAUAUUGCGCGUGGGAUCCUCCCGGAGUCUGUACACCUCCAGUAAGUGCGGGUACCCAUUGUGAUUUGAUAUUUUGCUCAAGGGGCUGGUAUAGUUCUAAGACAUUGCCCGAGGGGCGGAUUUGGUAACGUUGUGCCCGGGCGGCAAAUCUUAUGUGCUUAUCUUUCUUAUUUGCCUGUCAUGACCUAUUUAAUUGACUAAUUGUGCCUGAGGGGUGGAUUUCUAUGCUUAUCUGCACUAAUUGUUUUGCGUCCAAUUGCGUAACUAUUGAAAAAUCAUUUUAAAAGAAGUUCAAACCGAGUUAAGAUGUUGUAGGAGAUUUUAUAGCUUCGUUGCUUUUUUUUUUAUUGGUUUUUGAACUGCUUCCACACAACAUCUUGAUAUGCUUACGUGAUUUCAUGCCAUUCAGACUUUAGUUAUGAUUUACUCACUGAUUCAGAGUACUCACUUUACUCCCUGUACCUUGUGGGCAGAUUCAGGCAUUUUUAAACCCAGUUGCGGGUUUUGGUUGAUACUAGACAGAGUCCUCGGAGUUUAGCAAGGUAGCUGGCGACGUUCGCAGUAAUGCUUUUCUCCCUCUUUACUUCACUAAUUUGUAUUUUGUACACUUGAGACUUUCAGUUGUAUUUAGUCCCUAGUAGAUGCUCGUGACUUGUGACACCCCGAUGUCGGACUGUAUUUGUUUCUACAGUGUUCAUUUAAACUCAUGUUAUGCAAUAUCUAAUUAAAUGAAAAGGCAUUAAUAUGAUUUAUUAAAAAUUGUUGAAUUGAAAUUAGGAAAUUAUGUCCGUUGGCCUUGUCUUCACGAGAGGCGCCAUCAUGAUCGGGCCGAUUGGG
rnacentral:lncRNA from 1 species